AGAAUGUGUGGCCUUGUUGAAGUAGGUGUGGCCUUGUUGACAGUAGUAUAUCAUUGAGGGGGUAGUCUUUCUGAAUUCUCAGCUCCUCCUACACCAACCAUGCCUGGACACUGCCAUGCUUCUGCCUUGAAGAUAGUAGAUUGAACCUCUGAAUCUGGAUUUUAAUAUAACAUCUGAGACUGAGAAGACAAGUUGAUGAAUACACACAAAUACUAAGGUGGGAGACUUGGCCUUGAGGUCAAGGGAACAGGGCACCUGUUUCUGCUAUUCACCUACCGGAGCAAUCUGGAGAAUGGGAUAUCCAACUUGCCUUGGGAUCACAGUAGAUCUAAUUGACCUUGCUGGCAGCAACACAGAGUGAAUGGGCUUAAGACCACACAUUGGUUGGACAUUGAGAGAUAAGGUUGAUAAAGAUUUCUAUAAACACACAACUCUGUUUUACUUGUGAAGAAAGGAUUUUUCAAGUCAGUAUUCAGUGCUUGUGUCAAGACCAGCAAGAUCUUCAAUAAAUUGUCAGAAAAUGGUUGUGAUAAAAGAUACACCAGACAUGACAAUAGUAUAUUAUGGCAACUGUGGGAUCAAGGACUAGGUGCAUCCUUUACCACUAAGAGCAUCAAAGUGGCCCAGUUGGUGUUUUAUAGAGCCUGUUGAUUCUCUGUAAUCUUCUACUUCUAUUUUUUAAUGGAUGGACCUAGAAAAGAUCGUAACAAGUGAGAAAGGAACCUAGCAUAACACCUCUGAGAUGAUCCAUCAAGCAACCAAUAGAAAGAGAUGCAGAGACCCACAGUCAAAUAUUCAAUGGAGCACAUGGAGUCUUAUGGAAGAGUUGGGAGAGGAUUGAUGGAUCUGAAGACGACAGAGGCUCCACAGGAAGACCAAGAGAGUCAACUAUCCUGGACCCUUGGGGACUCCAGAGACUGUGUCACCAACCAAAAUGAAAGCAGAGGUUGCACCUAGGCCUCUUUGCACAUAUGUAACAUAUGCACAGCUUGGUCUCCAUACUUGUCAUUAAUUCCUUUAUAUGACUUAAGAGUUGUAUGAGCUCAUACCAUCAGGGAAUGUUGUCCCUGCCAAAGUUAAUGACUUGUGGAUAAUCAGAAAAAGCAUGAUUCAGGAGAGUGAGUCUGUGUCUCUGUGAUGCUGAGAUUUAAGGUUAUGCAAAGAACUCUGAAAACAUGAGUUCUAGAAUAUAUAAAUCACUGUAAGAAUUGUUUAUUACAAGAUUUCUCAACUAUGCAAUUUAAAAGGUUGCAAAGUGAAUUGAAUGAGGGCCUUCAAAAACCUGAAGGGAAAGAGGCAGCUACACUAAUGAUUCAUCUUAGAAAGAUAUAAAGGAAACCAGGUGUGCAAGAUAUCUUAGUACAAUGGUGCCACGAAGCUUAUAGGGAUAAGCAUCGAAUAUCUGAGAGGAAUUAAUGCUCACUUAAUGAGGUGGAACCCACAUCCCACAGUAUGGGUUACUAAUCACCUGGGACUGGAUAGCCCAGAGACCUAGAAUAAAAUCAAAGUCUUCUGGUAUUCAAAAAUGAAAAGAAAAUCCAGCAAUAAAAUUAGUCCUAUUGAUAUCAUGUUAUACUUACAGUUCAGUGAAUUGCUUAACCAUUAUCAAAUAAGCUUUUUUCUACCCAGGUUACUUACAAAAGGAAGUUUCCUUCACCCUACCAUUCUAUCUUAUAAUCUUUCAAUGAAGGAAAAUUAAGACAAGAACUAAAAUCUAUAGUUGCAUAGCAUCUACAGUCAAAAACAGAAAUAAAGAAAUGAAAUCAUGUUGCCAACUAGAACUCUUCACUCAUAUGGUUCAAAGCCCAAAUUAUAAAAUUUUACCAACGAUCAUAGGCUAUGACUUAUUCCAUGAGCCAUCAUGGUAUAUUCCUACACAGACAUGCGGUUAGCCCAAUCAAUGGUAAUUAGAUAAUUCCUCAUUAAGACUUCCUAGGUGAUUCUAUUUUGUGCUAAGUUGACCAUUAAAAAUUAUCACACUAUUAUCAUUUGCUUCCCUGGUAAAACUGGUGAGAUACACUAGAGUCCACAGAUUUGAGUAAGCUCCUAACUGAUUGGAUGAGAAACAAUACUAUAGCAAACCUCACAGUUUAAAUUAAAUUAAUAUAUAAGUAAGGUGGGAUUUAGAUAUGAAAUAUUUAUAGAGUGAUGUACUUCUUUUUCAAAGUAAUUAGCCGCCUACCAAGAAGCCUUAUAAUUAUCAUGAUACAUUAAUAGUCACACUAAAGAAAUUACUACAUUAGUUUGGGUAUACGAGAAUAAUUCUCUUGAUCUUGCACAUCUACAUUAGUUAUUUUGAGUAUAAAAUAAAAAAAAAAUUACUAUUUCCUUGAUGAGUUAACCCUGUGUCCACUUAAUACAGCUACAAACAGACUUGCAUUCCAAGGAUCAAAAAACAAAACAAAACAACCAAACAAGCAAGCAAAAUCUUUUUUUUUUUUUUUUUUUGACAAAAUUUUCUGGAAAGGGUGGCCACGGUAGCAAUGGAUUCUGUGGUUUAUGUAUGGUUGAGUGAGAUAUUUACACUUCAAAUAGUUAUUUUGGAAUUCUGUUAAGCAUUAUUUUAGCCCCAAUACUUAAUUGAAGGAGAUCUCUGUUUAUCAGAACUCAGUACCUAUAACAUUUGAUAUGAAUUUAAGAACCAAUUAAAAUUUCUGAAUGAACUAAGAUUAUAGUAGCAUAUUUACAUACUAGCCAUAGAAUUAAUAGAUUUAUAUUUAGUUUCAGAGACUUAAAAUUAUGACCUCUAAUUGUCUUAUGAAUCUGUAGUAAUAUGAACAGUUAAAUAACAGUUAAAUGCUUUGAAAUCAAUUAUGGAUAAUUCUGCCUUGACCCCAAAUAGUUAUUAACAAAGAUGUGUGGUAUUUUUUCUUUGUAAUAUAAUCAUAUAGUUACACUUUGAGGUCAGUAGUAGAAUAAACCACACAAAUUCUACUAAAUAAAAUAUGAGACACUGUGUAAGACAGUAAAUCAUUUAGAACACAAAAGUCACAAAAGAUUCUAAACUAGAAAUAAUUUCAUUCAAUAUAAAAUUUUUAUGUGAACCCAGCUAUGUGCACUUUCUAUCCUGUGCAAUGCAAUGAAUUGCAUAAAGAAGUUUGUGUAUAAAAGUAAUAAAACUGUAGCCUUUUGAGGGGACAAUUAUUUAAGAAAAGCACAGCAACUUGAAAUAGGAGUGGUAAGUCAGACUUACCUUUGGUCUGCAUUUUUGCAACAAUGUAUACCAUGAAGAUAAUUAUUUAGAGAACUUUAUUUGUUAAGAAAGAUAACUGUUGCUUGUUAUUAAAACUGUUGCUUAU
rnacentral:lncRNA from 1 species